AACGCGGAGAACAAAAUUUUCAUUCUCCACACUUAAUAUUUUUUCAACACACUUAACUUUCACACAAUUGAAAACUGGCGACCCAUUUUCUCUCUUGCUAUUCCCCGAACCCUAGCCCUCUCCUCCUUCCUCUCUCACUCUCUUUCCACGGCCACCACUGAUUCCCUCUCCUCCACUCACUCCCGCUACUAUCUCUCUCUCUCUCUCAUUCACCGCCUCCGCCCCCUUGCCGGCGCCAUCACCUCCACAACCAAGCUCUCUCUCUCUCUCUCUCUCUCUCAGAUCUCGGAAGACUGAAAGAAGGUAAAGAAUCCUUCUCUCAAUCUCUCUCUCGAAUUGGGGAAAUCGAUUGUUUCUAUGAACCAAGACAACAUCCCAGGGGUGACCGGCACCGUUCUGUCAAAGAAAUCUCAGGCGCUGCGCAAUUGAUUAUCAGUAAUUGUAGUUCGAACGCACCGUUUUGAUUCGCAGCAGUCAAUUUGAAGGUAUUGGAGUUCGAUUCGCAGCAGGCCAUUUGAAGGUUUCCCUUCUUGGUGGAGCAUUCUGCGCAUGUACUAGGCAUUUCUUUUAUAACACCGAAUCUCUUGAGACACCUUAGAAACAACUGGUGCUUCGAUGUGGUGCGAGGCAUUGCAGCUAUUAGCUGAGGAUUAAAGCAGAAAGCAAAAUUGAAGGUCAGUAAAAUUUCAAUGAAUGUUGAGCAGUUACAGCUAAAUGUAUAAUAUGGUCAAUUUCUUUAUAAUUGGUUUGCUCUUCAUUAUCAAAUGAUUAAUAUUUUUAGGCUUUUAGGCUAUGGGCUUCAUUUGAUGUGAUAUUGGAGGUUGCAUAUGAAUUUGAAGGUUGCAUAUAUUCAAGAAGCUAAGAGAGCCAAGUUUUUUGACACUCAGAGGGAUAGGUUAUACUGGAAACGAAAAGAAGAGGUUUAGUUUUGAAUUUCAUUAAGCUUUUUUGUUGUUUAGUUAAAAAAAAAAAAAAAUUUCUCCGAGUUUGAUCGUCACAGACCCCAUCCAAAACUAAUCUUUAGACCAUAAUUGAUAUCAUCCCAAAACUAAUCUUUAGACCAUAAUUGAUAUCAUCUUCAGUUGUCUAGAGCCUUAUCACAAAAAAGUAGAGCUACCAAGUCUCAGCAGGCUGUUGCAAAGGUAAUUCUACUUCUUCUUGCCUAUGUUGUUUUGUAAUGGCUAUUUUUAUGACAGUAUGAAUGCACAUCUUUCUUUCUAUAGCAUUUGGAACCACAAAGCCGCUGAUAAUGAGUUGAUGGAACUGGUACUCUUAAUAGUGGAGUCAUUAGAAUGAGCAUAGCACUUCUAGUACGCUUUAUAUUGUGAAAGGUUAGACUAGAGGGCCUCAUCUGGUUUUUAAUCGCGCACAACCUGAGUUCAACAUAAAAUCUAAGUUCUAAGUGAAUUCUACACCCUAAAGAGAGCAACCGGUUAAUAGCAAUAGGUAAUAAUUGGCUGCCAAGAAAGGAAUUCUGUCUGUACAUAUGAGACAACCUACUGAGAACUUAAGUUGAGAAAACCAUAUAAGAGGGGACUAAGAUGCAUCUAUCUAGUUGUGAGUAUCACCAAUUCACAUUUUAUCUAAUCAUGAUAUGUAAGUCCUCAAGUUAGGCUCUUAUUAGAAUGCCGACACCAAUUCACAUUCAAUCUCAUCAUGAUAUGUAAGUCCUCAAGUUAUUGGUUAGUGUUUUAAUUUUCUCCUGUAAUACAUAUGGUAACAUUAGUUUGUGUACUUGGGGUUCUUGUAUAAGUAUAAAAUUUGUUGGUCGGUGUUUGAAGUAGAUAUUGAAUCAGUAGUGAAGUAAAUGGUACUGCUUUGUUUCUAAAUACAUAUAAUAACAUGUUUUUGUUUCUUUAUUUUGUUUUUACUCUUAUAGUUAUUUGAUUGUUUUAUUAUGCUUGAUUACAGGUAUCAGAAGUGAGCUCCCGUUUGGGCAGGGCUGGUACUGUGGGACUUGGGAAGGCUGUGGAAGUUUUGGACACCCUUGGCAGUAGCAUAAUUUAAGGCAUUGCAGUUGGGACAAGACUCGGAACUUCUUCGGUUGUCUUUGAAAAUCUGGAAUUAGUGUGCAGUAAGAAGAAAACAGAAGGAAGCUUGGUGUUGUUGAGUUUAUUCUUUUGAGGAACCAUCUGAGAAUUUCAAAGGCAAGGGUUGUGAACGUUUGUUAUGUGAAAUUGGAACUGUACUUUUUGAAUUAGCAACUAUCUAGGAAAUGUUUCUGUUAUCUUUGUUCUGCUUGCUCUCCUAAAGAUGCAAAAAUGUAUAUGCGCGGGGAUCAUGUGGCAUUAGGACAGGGGGGUGCCAAUCCAGUUUCUCAACUCAACUUCUAGGCAAUACUUUUUUCUGUCACUAAAUUCAUGAUUUCAGUUUGAUUGAGUUAAUUUAUAUCAUUGCCUAUCAUCUGUUCAGAAUGUUAAAGUGUUGCAUAGAGACACCAUAUUGGCUUUUCAAAUCUCUUAAUUAUAUCUCGGCAUAAUUUUUGUUAUUAUUUUGAUUCAUCCUUCAAUAUUGAUUUCAGCUGAGCUUUGUUUUCUUUACAAUUGGACAUCCCAAGACUUUCUCCAACUUGACAUUUCAGUUGAGCUUUGUUUUCUUUAGAAUUGGACAUUCCAACUUGACGAGGUGCGCAUUGAGGUGAUUGACUGUUUGCAGACUUUGCUAUUGAUGCUGACUAGCAAAGUGAUUUUGAGUAAGGCUAGCUAGAUUUUUUGUGAACCAUUUGGGAGUAGUUGUACUGUUGCAGCAACUGUGAACAAAACUUCAUGUACACUUAUUGCAGUGGUAUGUUUUAGGCUAGCCUUGAAGUAGGUUGGGGUAUUUUUGCCUAUUUUUUGAACUAUUAACAUCUUUGAUGUUGGAUACAAAUUAAUGCAAUGCCUCAUA